UACGUAGGCGGCAAGCGUUGUCCGGAUUUACUGGGCGUAAAGAGCGCGCAGGCGGUCGUUCAAGUCGCGUGUGAAAGCCCCCGGCUCAACUGGGGAGGGUCACGCGAUACUGAUCGACUGGAAGGCAGGAGAGGGUAGUGGAAUUCCCGGUGUAGUGGUGAAAUGCGUAGAUAUCGGGAGGAACACCAGUGGCGAAGGCGACUACCUGGCCUGUUCUUGACGCUGAGGCGCGAAAGCUAGGGGAGCAAACGGG
rnacentral:rRNA from 1 species